CUUAAAUGAAUUAGCGUUACAAGUGGGCUCUGACCGGUAAGCGGUCAUGGCGAAAUGGGAUGAACCAUACGUCUGAAUAAGGUGCCGAAAUGUACUAUCACUGAUACCAUAAAGGGAGUCCAUGUAUUUAGACAGCAGGUCGGUGCCCCUAAAAGCAGGUAUCCGCUAAAGAGUGUGUUAAAACUCACCUGCCGAAUACUAGGGCCCCGAAAAUGAAUGGCGCAUAUAGUACUACCGAUCUCAGACAUCAGUUCUAUUGAACUGAGAGUAGGGGGAUGUGGACAUUUUUGUGAAGGUGCAAUGUGAGUUGGACUGGAAGAAUGUCUAUUACAGAUCCUAAUUGAAGUAGCGAUUAUCCAGGCUUGUAUCCUGGGGGCUGAUGAGGAGUAGGGUUUCUGGACAACUUAAACAGAUCCAGAGUUAGUCGAUCCUAAUCUCAAUAAUGGGAGAAAGGGAGUACAGUUGAUAUUCUGUAACUGACAACAGUUCGCGGCAACGCAUACUAUUUUUCUCCGCCAAUCUUAUACCGUUGGUAGGGAUCUCUUUCCUACAUGACAGUACUAAUACCCAGGGAAACUGGUCAUCAGGCGAACUGCGGCGUUCUGCUGGCAAAACAUAGCUUCGGUUAUGUCAAUGGCUAUUGGAUUGGUCCAUGAAGCGAAAAAUAGUUUACUGUGUCACUCGUACCGAUAACCGCAUCAGGUCUUCUAGGUAAGUAGCCUAUGGCCAUUGAGGCAUGAUAGUUCAGGGAAUUCGGCCAAUUAGAGCUGUAACUUCGGGAUAAAGCUUGGCUCUGAUGAAAAUCAGAACCGAUUGUUACGCGGAGAGCCCAACUGUUUAAUAAAAACGUAGUGUCGCGCUGUGGUAGUAUAGCCAGUGAACGCGACAUGAAUCCUGCUCAGUGCUGUGUCUGUUAAUAUGGUUCAAGCCAACGAAGCACCGGUAAAUAGCUGGGGUAACUAUGACUCUUUAUCAAGUAGCGAAAUACCUCGUCA
rnacentral:ncRNA from 2 species